rnacentral:rRNA from 1 species
AGAUUGAACGCUGGCGGCAUGCCUUACACAUGCAAGUCGAACGGCAGCACGGGAGCAAUCCUGGUGGCGAGUGGCGAACGGGUGAGUAAUACAUCGGAACGUGCCCAAUCGUGGGGGAUAACGCAGCGAAAGCUGUGCUAAUACCGCAUAAGGAUCUACGGAUGAAAGCAGGGGAUCGCAAGACCUUGCGCGAAUGGAGCGGCCGAUGGCAGAUUAGG